rnacentral:rRNA from 1 species
UGUCCCAGCCGCCGCGGUAAUACAGAGGGUGCGAGCGUUAAUCGGAAUUACUGGGCGUAAAGCGAGUGUAGGUGGCUCAUUAAGUCACAUGUGAAAUCCCCGGGCUUAACCUGGGAACUGCAUGUGAUACUGGUGGUGCUAGAAUAUGUUGAGAGGGAAGUAGAAUUCCAGGUGUAGCGGUGAAAUGCGUAGAGAUCUGGAGGAAUACCGAUGGCGAAGGCAGCUUCCUGGCAUAAUAUUGACACUGAGAUUCGAAAGCGUGGGUAGCAAACAGGAUUAGAUACCCUGGUAGUCCACGCCGUAAACGAUGUCUACUAGCCGUUGGGGUCCUUGAGACUUUAGUGGCGCAGUUAACGCGAUAAGUAGACCGCCUGGGGAGUACGGCCGCAAGGUUAAAACUCAAAUGAAUUGACGGGGGCCCGCACAAGCGGUGGAGCAUGUGGUUUAAUUCGAUGCAACGCGAAGAACCUUACCUGGUCUUGACAUAGUGAGAAUCUUUUAGAGAUGAGAGAGUGCCUUCCGGAAUUCACAUACAGGUGCUGCAUGG